UUGUAAACAAAAAUUUCCCUUUUCCCUUAUGGGGUAUCCAAGAGCCCAUAUAGAGUCCUUACAUAGGUUCCCUAUUGGUAGGAGGGAAUAACAGAGGCCAACCAGAGAAUAUUGAGAAGCAAAGCAGCUAGUAAGCUUGAUCUUUAUUGAUCUGUUGCAACAGGGUGCUCCCCUCACCCGCAGGAGAGAGGAGGGACCCAGAAAAAUGGCACGCAAGGCCUUAUAAAGACUUUUGAAAUUGCCACCCUGUAGAUCAAGACCACCCCCAGAAACAUCAUACAUACAUCACAGAAGGGUGUAACCUAAGACCACCCCUCAGAUACAUCACACCUACAUCACAGGAAAGGCGGUCUAAAACAGAAAUUUGAAUAUUGUUUUUCUCCUGUUGUUGUUUAUCUCCUGUCUGGCAGGUUACUUGAUUGGAUUGCCUGGGGAGCCUGGCCAGUCUUUUGUAGUGAUAAAUACUUAGUUCCUGGGCCAGGUCACAGGCUCACACCCUAUUCAUAUCUUAAAGGUGCCCUUAAGACAGGAUUUGAGAGGAAAGAGAAUGGGGAGGUUUCCCACUUUGACCUUGCAGAGAAAACAUUGGCUCAGUUUAGGAAUCAAAAUGGUUCCAGGUCGGUCUUCCUGUGCUGAUCUAUGUACGUGCUUGGUUGGUACGCUUAUGAACAUUACCAUAUAUCUAAGACCUCAAAAUUC